GCCAGGCGGAGACACGCAGGCCGGCGUAUGUCGGUGCCACUGAAGGAGGGCCAGUGAGGGUCCUCUGCUGGCUAACGCAGGCUCCAUCAGGUCCGCAUCCUCCUCUGGCAGGACUGGGCGGUGGAAGACGCAGAGGCUCUGGGAGCCAGCUAGAGACCCAAGAUGCACCAGUCCUUGGGACAGCAUGUGACACACAGUGAGUGCAUAGCCAUAAAGUGGGAAGCUGUGAGAGCCCAGGAGACACUCAGAUGCCAGCAAGGCCCAGCACGGAGCCUGGCCCAAGGGAUAGAACACCGUGUGGCAGCCAGGACAGUGACUGAGGGACGAUCAAUGUCACACGCCCAGCUGGGGACCCCAGGGCCCUGGCAUGGGCUCCUACAGCCUCAGAGGCAAGUGGUGGACAGGUGGCCAUUGUCCACUAGCACCCUUGGCCCUUUAUGAAUGGUCCACGGCUGCUUCUGAAGGCCCGAGUGAGCCGUCAAGCAGGGACCCCAGGCCACGGUGCCAGAGCUGCA